GGCGCGCGCGCGGGGCGGUCGGGCUGGCGGGGCCGGCGCGCGUGCGGGCGGACUGGGCCGGUUCGGCCCAUUUUGGCCGCGCCGGUCCGGUUUUAUAUUUUUUUUUCUUUUAGCCUUUUCUUUUUCUGCUUUUCUCAUUUCUUUGAUAUCUUUUGAGUUUGAACUCCAAAUUGGUCCAAAUAAAUUUCAGAAAAUUUGUAAAAUCAUGUUCUACCAAGAUACAACUUUUGGAAGUAGUUUCUCUUCAAAAUAAAAUAUGUAAAAAUACAUUUGCCCUAUAAAUGCUUUAGGGCCAU
rnacentral:lncRNA from 1 species